UGAGGAAUAUUGGUCAAUGGGCGGGAGCNUGAUGGACCCGACCCUGANCCAGCCAAGUAGCGUGCGCGAUGANGUCCUUUGUGNUCGUAAUCCGCUAUUAUCAGAGAAUACACUCCACCACGUGUGGUGUCAUUGCAGGUAGAAAAAGAAAAAGGNCCGUUUUAUUCCGCGCCAGCAGCCGCGGUAAUAAGGGAGGUCCGGGCUUUUUCCGGAAUUUUUGGUUUAAAAGGGGAGCGCGGGGGGGAGUAUAAGUCAGCUGUUAAAUAUCAGAGCCCAACUCUGUUAUGCAGUUGAAACUAUAUUUCUUGAGUACGCACAGGGAUGGCGGAAUUCAGGGUGUAGCGGUGAAAUGCUUAGAUAUCCUGAAGAACUCCGAUCGCGAAGGCAGCCAUCCGGAGCGUAACUGACGCUGAGGCUCGAAGGUGCGGGUAUCGAACAGGAUUAGAUACCCUGGUAGUCCGCACGGUAAACGAUGAAUACUCGCAGUUCGGCCGUUUAUGGUCGAGUUGUCUAGCGAAAGCGUUAAGUAUUCCACCUGGGGAGUACGCCGGCAACGGUG
rnacentral:rRNA from 1 species